UUUGAACUUGAGAAUUAGAGGAUUGCAAACCAUGAAGAAUUAUUAUUUUCGGUUUGGUUUCCUCUAAUAUCUCACUUUCAUC
rnacentral:pre_miRNA from 1 species